rnacentral:rRNA from 1 species
GACAGCAGCAGCCACGGGAAUUCAGAGGGUGCGAGCGUUAAUCGGAUUUACUGGGCGUAAAGCGUGCGUAGGCGGCUUUUUAAGUCGGAUGUGAAAUCCCUGAGCUUAACUUAGGAAUUGCAUUCGAUACUGGGAAGCUAGAGUUUGGGAGAGGAUGGUAGAAUUCCAGGUGUAGCGGUGAAAUGCGUAGAGAUCUGGAGGAAUACCGAUGGCGAAGGCAGCCAUCUGGCCUAAUACUGACGCUGAGGUACGAAAGCAUGGGGAGCAAACAGGAUUAGAUACCCCCGUAGUCUCUGUCUCUUAUAC